GAUGAAGAACGUAGCGAAAUGCGAUAAGUAGUGUGAAUUGCAGAAUUCAGUGAAUCAUCGAAUCUUUGAACGCACAUUGCGCCUCCCGGCAUUCCGGGAGGCAUGCCUGUUCGAGCGUCAUCAAAACCACUCAAGCUUGUGUUUAUUCAUGACUUGGUAUUGGAACUGGAGUGGACAUGAGCCAUUCCUAUCCGAAUUCCAGUGGCAAAGUUGUCGUCACCUAUAAGCGUAGUAAUCAACAUUAUGUUUCGCUUUGGAGCAGACAAUCUUCCGCCGUUAACCACCCCCAUCCAAAAUUUAAGUGUUUGACCUCGGAUCAGGUAGGGAUACCCGCUGAACUUAAGCAUAUCAAUAAGCGGAGGA
rnacentral:misc_RNA from 1 species